CUCUCUUUAGACACUGCUAAGCUGAUUUUUCAUUAUUUGCUGAUCAAAUCUACAAGAAGAUGAAGUGCUUCCGAAUCUAUGCAUAUACACAAAAAGUGUUUAGCAUAUUAGACAUGUUCUUAUCGUCAUUCUUCAAGAGAGCAAACUAUGCAAUGGGCCUUGCGACAAAAGUAUAUCCCGCCAAAAAUCACCACACUAUGUUGUUGUUUUUAUCUGCAAUUCUGGUGUCUCAACUUAUGAAACAUAAAGAUGCAUUUUAUAAAAUGUCAUACACUGGAGCCAGCAUAUAUACAACAGUUCGCUAUCACACUGACUAAAUUAUGAAUCAAAUAUGUCAGAUAUUUAAACAAAAGUUAAGCUCAAUUCUUUAUUGAUAGAAUGUACACAUAUCGUUCAUUCUAACUCUAAAAAUACAAAAUAAAAAGUAAAGAAAUAAAUGAAGAUUUUUUUCUCUCAAGUAUCAACUAUUAUGCAAACUAACAAAAUUCAUUUGAAUAAAAAAAAACAAUGGUUAUAUCUAAACUCUACUUAUUCAUUAGACUGUUACACAAUCGUUUUUCUCUAUUGGUAUUCUUUUAAAUGAUUUAAGAUUAGUCACAGUACUUUUGAAAAUAUGUAUCGUUAUUAUGAAUAAUUAAAAAUGUCAAACAGUAAUUUUGUGACAAGUACAAAUUAAAUGAGUAUACAAUAUAACUGAAAAUUCACACAUAUAUACACUAUCAUUUAAUUACGGAAUCCUAAUGUCUAAUACUCUUUCACGUAGGACCCAAUUUAUUCACUUGUGAUGACAGUGGUAGAUUGAGAAUAAAAUCAACUUUUCUUCAGCAGAAAUUGAGCAGAAACCUUUCUGUACAAAUAACUAAACAAAUAUUUUUCAGUUCCCUAGAAAAUUUUGAUAUCUUAUCUGAACCUGUCAGGAAUAUGAUAGUUGUUAUACAUUCGUUUGAUGUGUUUGAGCUUUUAAUUUAGUCAUUUGAUAAAGGACUUUUCGAUUUGAAUUUUCCUAGGAGUUCAGGAUUUUGUUAUUUUACCUGAUAUAGGCGUAAGUUCCCUAAGCUGAAUCAAGUUUAAUGUCAGCCCCACAUUGCCAUCCUGGUAUUGAAUGCAAAAACGUUACCAGAAGUUAGUCACAAGAAGCAUUACAAAGAUAUUUAAUCAAAUGCUAGAGAACUUGUUCUAUUCAAAAUUUUCCUUUAUAAAACUAGUCAAAUUUAAAGUCAUAAGAAACGAGUGACUGGAGAAAAAUAAUGUUCAUCCAAUUCUUGAACCAAUGCUGUAUAUAUCAUAAACUUAGUCCGCUGUGCACGAUUUUAUCAUUUUUUACGCAAAUAUAUCGUAUAAUCGUCAUUUUUUUUCUAUCUGUCUGUUAUGAUUUAACAAAUAUGGCUACUCAUUAAAUGCCGUGUUUUGAAGGCGAAGUUUACCGAUUGUCACCUUAUAGUAAACAAUCAACAAAAAGUAUGGGUAUUUAGCACGUGUUCAACAUAUACAAUCAGGUAAUUGUUUAUUUUAAUGACAGAUUCAUGCGUAUUGCUAUCACCGGAUUUUUACGACGAGGGUAACGCUCAGGUCACUAUGCAUACGGAAAAUAAGUCGGAGAAUUGCUUCCUGGCAGCAAGCAAUUAAAAAUAAGUAAACUUCUUCUAAAUGUGGACAAAUUUAAGAAUUUUUCUCAGAAAAAAUAUAUGUACAUAAGUUGUAUAAUGAAAACUAUCCAUUUAGUUUAAAAAAACAUAUGCAUAUUUUUUUUUAAUUUGAGGUUUCAUAUGACUUUAAGGAAAUGGGAUGCGUUAGAUUUCAAAUGAUAAUUGAUAAUAAUAAUAUUUUUAAAGCCAUUUGACCGGAUUACCACUACUUAACAUAGUUAAUAUCAUAUAGUCAAACAUAUUUCAAAAAUAAGUAUUCGCCAUAACAUUAAAUACCAAAUUUUUAUAUACCGUCGUUGAUUUUUUCAUUGGCACUACUUCUUUUUUUAUAUUAUUUGUCAGUUUAAAGUUAAUUCGUUUCAAUCAUGUUUUAAAUUCUAAAUAUUGUGGAUCUACAUGAUUCCUCCCCAUCAAAAUAAACGAAGUUAAAAACAGACAGACAACUUAUAUUUAAUAUCUAACACUCUAGUAUGUACGGUUAAAGGAUUUUUACUGCAAUUUAUAGUAUAAGUUCACCACAAGGAGUUACAGAUUAGUCUAAACAAUUGUGAAUUGAGAAGACCCAACAUAAACAUCUAUUCGAAUUUUUCAGCACUUUCAUCUGAGUUUAAAUAAUUUGUGCGGCAAUUACACAUGUGCAAUAAGGUUCAUAUAAUAAUCAUAAGAUAAGAUAAUCACAGUGAGAAUCCAAAAAGGCAUAUGUUUCAUGCUUUAAAUUUUAUUUCAGAUCAUUGUUUUGUAUUCAAUUUACACUAAAGUCCUCUUUCUGUUGUUAUAAUUUGAUAUCUCAAUAAGUUGAUUAUACAUAUCUCAUCAAAAGACAGUACUUGUAUCGUAUCAUAUAAACACAAUCAUCGAAAAGUUUAAACCCGACUUUGAUCUUUGUUUUAGUUUCUUUGUCAUUUCAAAGUUCGAAAAAUUGAUUAUAUUUGUAGGACUCAAUUCUAUGGUUGGUUGCAUAUCUGUGGCAGAUUCCUAAACUACGGCAAAUAUGACGUCAUUCCAUCCCAAAUCUAGUGCAGAUUUUGUACAAUCCUAUAUAAAUGGCAAGUUUUGUAAUUUCCUAAUCUAUGACUGAUUUUCGUUGUUUCCAAAUCUAUUGCAAUUUUUAUGCAAAUGGAUAACACUACAGUACAUAUACGACCAAUGGAUACUUCUAGUCUUAAAUCAGUGGAAAUAUACGACAACGAGAGCAUAUCUUUAUUCAUUUGUGAAAUGAAGAUGCCAUAAUUGUUAAAAAAACCGUGAUGGCCACCAAAACAUUUCGUUAGCGGCGGCGACGAUGUUAUAUGGCGUAAUUCAAUUGUGACGUUAUGUUACUAUUUACCAAUUAUGCAUUUGAAAGAUCUGCCAUAGAUUUAGAGAAAGCAAAAAUCUGCCAUAGAUUUGAUUUUUUUGACGUUUUUAGGUCACAUUUGCUAUAGAUUAGAAAUCUGCCAUAGAUUUGGAACUCGCCAUAGAUUUGAGUCCUACAUAUUUUCCAGGUAAGACAAUAGUUCAUAAUACAUUUAUAAAUAAAUCUAAUUAUUAUUUCACGAAAAGAUUCAAUAGUAUCAGAAUAAUACACUCUGAACAAUCUCUCAAUUUAUGGAAAUGUAUUAUUGUAAUUUAUUAUAACAAUAAUUAUAUUGAGAUAAAUACCUCUUUCAGACUCAUUAGUCUUUACAGAAAAUGCCAUUUGGAGUAUGACAUGUUAAAUGUAUGACACAACGGGAGAGGGCAUCUCUUAUGUAAUGAGUUGAAGUGAAGAUCCCCGCUGGAAUAAAUUCCUUUUUUGGAGUUUAAAAAUAUAUUGCAGAUUGAGAAUUUAAGUUGAAAUAUAUCACAGACACACACAUAUAUAUAUAGGGUUGUUGAUCACAUAAAAGUUUCUGAAACAAAUUUAGAUUUUUUUCAAAGAUGUAUUUUAAACAAGUCGGAAAUACCUUA
rnacentral:lncRNA from 1 species